UACGGAGGAUGCAAGCGUUAUCCGGAAUGAUUGGGCGUAAAGCGUCCGCAGGUGGCAAUGUAAGUCUGCUGUCAUAGCGUCUGGCUCAACCAGAUAAAGGCAGUGGAAACUACAUAGCUAGAGUAAGGUAGGGGUAGAGGGAAUUCCUGGUGUAGCGGUGAAAUGCGUAGAGAUCAGGAAGAACACCGGUGGCGAAGGCGCUCUGCUAGGCCGCAACUGACACUGAGGGACGAAAGCUAGGGGAGCGAAUGGG
rnacentral:rRNA from 1 species